AAAGAUGAAGGCUGUUCACAUUGUCCUCCUCUUUGCGGCUCUAACAGGAGCAGCUAGUUGUCUGUUCAUUAGAAAAUAUAUUUUUGUGGACAUGGCUGUGACUUGGACUGAUGCUCAGACAUACUGCAGAAACUAUUAUGUAGACCUGUCGACCGUUAACUCACUGGAGGAGCUAAAUAAUUUUGAUAUGGAUAUAGCAGAUUAUGUUACUGAACGAAGCUGGAUCGGCCUUAGAAGGAGCCUUUGGGAGAAUGUCUUUGCUAACUGGUCCGAUGGAAGCGAUUUAGAAUUUACUGCUUGGAAAUUGGGUGAACCGAAGAGCUCGGACCAUAACCUUUGUGUGUAUAUGUACAGAUCUGCAUUUGAUGUUGAAGAAUGUUCAAAGAUUCUGCCAUUCGUCUGCUACACAUGGGAUCCUCAGAUAAUUGUGGUGCAGGAGAUGAUGAACUGGGAAGAGGCACUGAAGUACUGCAGGGUGUACUACACUGACCUGAUAAGCCUGGUCACAGAGAAAGACCUGCUUAUAGCCAAGACAAUGACCAAUACAAUGACCACGACUAAUCAAACACCCAGUCUAUGGAUAGGCUUGCGCUUCAUGGACGGCCUAUGGUUCUGGGUGAACCAGGAACCUCUGGGGAAUCUGACCUCGGUGCCCUCAUGCCCUAUCAGACCUUUCCAUUGUGGAGCCCUAAAAGCUGGAAGUUACAUUUUGGAGAACAGAAACUGCAAUGAGGAAAUGACCUUCAUUUGCUACUAUUAAAGACGGUGUAGCGCUUCACUGCAACCGAAAACAGGACAAGAUGGAGAAGAAAGGAAGAAGAGAAAGUGCGAUGCAUGUCAUUCUGUUCAAUUUGGACUAGAUUAAAGUUUGUGUGGCAGCAGUCAAAAAGUUGUUUACUGAAAUGUAGUGACUUUGUAUACUAUUUGCUCUAAUAUAUUCUAUGUGCACUAAUAUAUUCUAAAGAAAUGACAGAUCUGAUGAAUAUUAUUAUAACAAUCUGAUAUAACUAUCUGACUUUUUAUUUGUAUGCAUAAGAAUUAUUUUUGCAUUAGUUCUUUGGUAUUCUACAAUUAGAAACUGUAAACUAAAUUAAUUCACUAGAAUGUUUGCCUAUGUAUGCAAUUUGCCUUUCAUGAUAAUGUCAUAUUUCCUUUAAUGUAUGUACAGUACUGUGCAAAAGUCUUAAGCACAAAUCCUGUAUACCAAAGAUGCCUACAAAAUUAAUGAAAUUAAACAUUUGUACAUAAAAAAUCCACUAUUAAAAGCAGUAAACAGUAAUUAGACUAAAAAAAAAAGUCAAUUUUAAGUGUAACAACCCUGAUUAAAAAUGCCUCAGUCAUCUCUGGUAUACUUUGUGCAGUUUUAUAAGGAAAUUCGCUGGUAAGUUUUUCUGAGCAUCUUGGAGAAUCUGCCACAGUUCUUCCGGAGACUCUAACCAUCAUACCUGUUUCUGUUUUUGCGGAUAAAACUGGACAGACUUCAUUAUGAUUUUUGUCUAAAAAAGUGUUGUAUUAUGUAAUAUGUUGCUUUCUUUACUGCCAUACAAACAUUUUCCUGUAACAUUUAAUUUUUGUUGGAAAAAGUAAUGUUUGAAAUCUAAUUUCUAUUGACUCAAUAAUGCACAAGUCAUACAACAAACAUUUAAGACAAAAUUUGUAUUUUAAAAAAAUAGGGUUCCUAAGACUAUUGCACAGUACUGUAUAUUGACUUAAUCCACUGUAAAUCAUAUUAGUCUAUUGUAACCGUUAUCUAUUAAACAUGAUGUAUGAUAUGAUGACAGUAACUUUUUUAUAGGACCUGUAAGGAUUAUUUACAUUAUUAUGUACUAAUAGAAAUGUUAAAAAAUAAAACAAGUGUUAUCAUCUAGAA